AUGGCCAGCCAGUGCCCCGGCCGAAGAAAUUCCAUGCUCGUCUACGACACCUGCCUGCUGCGCCACGCCAGCGCGAGCUUCUUCGGCGCCGCCGACACGUCGUGGGUCAAGUACUGGUGGAAUCCGCAGAACGCCGCGCAGCCGGAGCGGUUCGCGUCGCUGCUGGGCCCGCUGAUGGGCAACACCCAGAGGGCGGCGUUCGCGUCUCUGCGGAUGUUCGCCGUCGGCACGGCCGACGUGACGUCCUCCGACAGGAUCUACGGCAUGGCGCAGUGUACGCGCGACCUCGAUAACGACGACUGCCACGGCUGCCUCUUCACUGCCGUCUCAAGGAUCCCGACCUGCUGCGCCGGGAAGCGGGGUGGCCAGGUCAUCUUCCGGACUUGCUCCAUCCGGUUCGGGGUCUACCCUUUCUUCAACUCCCCUUCUGAGGCGGCCAUCUCUCAGGCGGCCAUGUCGCCGACGCUGCCGCCGCCGCCAGCAGGUGCGCGUAGCGACUACUCCACGCCCGGAAGCACCGGUGACGGUGAGUCAAUGCAUGCCUUCUGUCUGGGUCAAACUUGGUGGUACAAUGGCUCACGCGCUUGUACGUACGUACUAGUACUAGUACUACGUAGUGCUUAUGAAGUUCACACUUUACAUAUGGAGGUGGGGCUAGGUAUUAAUCAAGUCUAA
rnacentral:rRNA from 1 species